rnacentral:rRNA from 1 species
AUGGAGGCGUUAAACCACGAGAUAAGCCAGCUCAUCGGCCGGAUCAUUGAGGAGCAUCGCACGAGGAGGUCGGCCGGCGGCGGCGAGGAGGAAGACAUCGUGGACGUGCUACUGAGGAUCCAGAGUGACGGUAGCCCCCACAUGCCUCUCAACGCCAGGACAAUUGGUUCCGUGAUUAUGGAUAUGUUUUCGGGAGGGAGCGAGACCUCGGUGACAACACUCCAAUGGGUGAUGGCAGAGCUCAUGCGGAGUCCAGCGGCUCUUCGGAGGGUGCAGGCAGAGGUGCGCAAUGCUUUCGCCGGGCAGAGCUGCAUCAAGGAGGAGGCCCUGCAGGAGCUGCGAUAUUUGCAUCUAGUAAUCAAGGAGUCGCUCCGGCUACACCCGGUGUUGCCGCUGCUCCUCCCACGGGAGUGUCAGGAACCUUGCCAUGUCCUUGGCUAUGACGUGCCCAAGGGCACCAUAGUGCUCGUCAACGCAUGGGCAAUCGGGCGGGAUUCAGCAAGCUGGGGUGCCGAUGCCGAGGAGUUCAGGCCAGAGAGGUUCGAGGAGGCUGGUGAUGCGGCGGCGGACUUCAGGGGAACGAACUUCGAGCUCGUGCCAUUCGGCGCCGGUAGGAGGAUGUGCCCUGGGAUCACGUUCGGGAUCGCGGUCGUCCAGCUCAUGCUCGCGAGCCUGUUAUUCCAUUUUGAUUGGAAGCUCCCUGGAGGAGGCGCCGAUGGGCUAGACAUGGCGGAGGAGCUCCAGAUGACAGCCAGGAGGAAGAGCGACCUGUGGCUGCAUGCCACCGUUCAUGUGCCUUCUCCUAAUCCAUGA